GGAGCAGAGGCAUUUAGCUGUGUAAACACAGAGCUUCAGUGGCAGCACCCUAAAUGCUUAGCUGAUAGAUCCGGAAUUAAAUACAGACCUAGAAACUGGAGUUGGAAAACUUCCUGGCAGCACUCCUUCCCUGCCAUCCCGGUGAUCCCCUUCUGGAUGGAGGGCGUGGAGCUCAGCACAUUCACGUCUGCAGUUCUCAGAGAACCAAGUGUUAAGGAAUGUCAGGGAAGGAAGAAGGCAGCCAGCCAGGAAGGGGAGGUCCUGGCCUGA
rnacentral:lncRNA from 1 species